CCAAUCUAACACCUGUUUUCGCCUCCUCGCUCCUAGCUUCCUGUGGAAUCCACAAGAAAGGCUCUCGCCCACGUUUUCCCCUCACUCCUUCUGCCUCCUGACUGACCCUGGCGCUGCCCUGUGUGGCCUUCCACGGUGUGCCCUGCCUCCUGUUGAUCAAGAUCUGUGAGGACAGAAAACUUCUUUCUUCAUGACAGCUAUUUCUAUAUCUUUGUAUUAGACUAUCCCUAGUGGAAACAAAUCUUGGGUACCCUUAAAACACCUGGGAUCCCACUUCAUUUACACAAGGCUGAAUAUUUUGCUAUUUUAUAUUUGGUUAAUACAUUCUGUUCAGAGCCUGUUUGAACAUCCUCUCAGCCACAGUUUGCCAUCACCUCUGAGAGGACAUGUUUUUACCUUGUUACCACAAGUACCUAAGCCAUUCUGCUCUCACAGGCAGUCUUUGCAGACAGGAUCCUCACUGAAUCCCCCUUUCCCCAGGAGUACAGAUAUGAUGCAACUUUUAUGACCUCCUCCUUCGAGGACAUUUGUUUGACACACUUGUAAUGGACAUACAAGUCCACAAUCUUUUAGUAGUUUUUUGGUUCUGGAGGCAACAUAACCCUUGUGUGCAAAUUUUAUUUAAGCCUAUUUAUGCUGUUACAAAUAAAUUAGCCCACCUUCAGCGGGGGUCCGCUCCAACAAAAGGCUCUGCAAACUGUCCAAAUUAAAAUCACCAGGCACUCCUGUCAGAGCCUCAGAGACUCCUUCAGUGAAGAGGCUUCAGCGACCUCCUCUUAUGCUUCCUGGAGCCUCUGGACCACCCACGAUGUGCAUACACUCUCUCUGGGCUUCUGAUGCAAGAAACCGCCCUCCUUGGCCCUGCAUUAUACUAUAGUAGAGCAGCAAUCACUGGUCAUGCACUGGGAUCUUCGGGAUUCUCCCAGACCUUGAGCCUCCAUACCCAGCUGCCCACUAUUCCUUGGGUCAUGGAAGCAGUACCCCACAAGUUCAGGAGUUAGCAAGGCCUCUUUGCUACAGGAUGGAGCCAAACCUGGGCCACAUGGCAUGUCCUACCUGCUGGCAAGGGUGCUCUCCCCUGUCCCCACUCCAUUGCCAGAUGCCAUGAUGCUGGAGGAUGUUACCCCUUCCCCAGGUCGCUUAGUACCUGGGGAUUCCCUUAUGAUCAACCGAGUGAACGUCAAUGAGAGUUCAUAUACUUGAGUUUGCUGAUGACCACUUCUCCUUUCUGGCCAAUUGUGCUUCCAGGGAAGCAUUUGUCUUCCUCCCUAAAAGUCUCAGUCAUCACCAAGGUGUAAUUGAUGUCAAGGCAUCAAAGAAUCAAUUCUGGUAUGAGGCCUGAAACGAAGAUUCAGUAUUAAGUGUGGCCUUGACUUCCGGUCAAAUCAGAGGGCCUCAAAUGGCCUACUUGCAAGUUCCCUACCCUCUCUGCUCCCACAGUUAAGGUCCCCUCACCAAAAAGAGCCCUUUAUCACAGGGACCAGGCACAGUUGCUCCACAAGUAGUAGGCUCCAGUUUACUAUCAGCCUGUGUAAUUACUCAAAGAAGGCAAUCAUACCUUCCUGCAGGAACCAAGGGUCACAACCACCCUCUUGUUACUGAAAAGUGUGCUCCCAUAGCCAUACAUAUUUACUCUCUUCCAAAGAGCUCUCCCUGUGUGGCUCUGCAUGGAGUGCAGUGUAUUACCCUGGGAUGGGAGAUUACUUAACAAAUAAACUGUUGUUGAGCUCAUCUGUUAAGCAUUCAGACAUGCCAUGACCUGAGAGGGGGUGAGAGUUGCAGCAUCUAAGUGAAGAGAAGGAAAAUUAAACACUUCUGGUGUGUAGUUUCUUGAAGCAAGGGCUCUGUUGUGAUAAGGCAGAUGGUCCUGAAGUCACUUGAGUCAGAACCUGUUCGGGGUUUGCAGAAAAUCGCACGUGGCAGGAGGGUGGCCUGUAUGUGGGUGAGGAGCAGGGAGGAAAGAUGCAGAGGCGAGGUCUUGGAGAUUCAGCUAAAGUUCAGCUUCCAGGAAAUGGGUGACCCUGAAUUAUUUCAAGCAGGGAAGCGAUGAAACCAAACACAAACUCAGGUUUGUUUACCCAAUUUUGCAGCAAAGCCAAUCAGUGAAACGUUAGGAUUAUAGCAAGGAAAGAGGUUUAUGAUCAAGAGGCAGCCAGACAAGGAGGUGAGAGUAGCUAUGCAAAACUCAAAGGAAAAAUACUGGGGUUUUUAGCUGCGGUUUCGGUUUCGGGUAGGGGUGGGGACCAGGAGAGCGCUGCAGGUGAAGCUUGAAGAGUCCUCUGCUCAGGUGCAACGGUGGAUCCCAUUUCUUCACGGGUCACAAGAGCGAACUCAGUAGGGUUCGACGUGGUGCAUGCCAAGGAUCUCUGCCUGUGACGCAGAAAGUUGGCGAUGGGUCAUUUCAGCUGGUCCAAGCCUCUGCACGAUGUCCAGUCAGGCGGGGGCCAGGGGGCUGCCAUCAAGCUGCUCUCUGCUCUGCCGUCUUCCUGUUGUUCUGCAAAACAACCUCAGAAACUUUGGUUACUUUCUUGCCCACGUCCACCCCUGUGGGGGCUGGGCACCGUGGUGUCAGUAACGGCAGGGUUUUCCUCUUGGGUCACCCUCCCAACAGUGUGGAGGAUGGAUUCAAGUGGGGAGGGGGGGCAGUGUGCCAGGAGGCCAGCCGGCAAGAUCAGUAAGGAGUCUACUGGGCUGGUUGCGUGCAAGAGACAGGAAGGCAUGCGGCAGAGCAGUGGGGACGGCAAAGAAGUUAAGGUGCUUGGCUCCCUUUGGGAGUCGGGAGGCUGCGAAGUGGGUGAGACAGAGAGCUCAAGCGUGGCCUUGAGGCCUCUCGCUCCCGGGUGAUGAGAUGGGCAGAGGUUUUCUGAGGUGAUGAAAGGAAGGUAAGAGGAGGGGGAGGGUUUUGUUGGAGGAUACCGGGCUCCCCUUUGGACGUGUCAGUUUUGAGAAGCCUUUGGACAUCCUGAGAGGUGCGUCCAGCAGACAGUUAGAGAAAGCAGCGUGGAGUCAGGGGCAGGGUGAUGUCAGUCGUACGCACUCAGAAGCCCUGGGCAUCUGGGGGCGAGUCGAAUCGUAGGAGCACAUGAGCUUGCUCUGAGACCCGAGGGGUUCCUGUUCCCUGAAGACCCUGCCUUCGAGAACAGAACCCUUUGAGAAGUGGUCGGGAGGAGAAGCUGCAGAGGAAAGUGAGACAGAAGGGUCUGAGGUUAGGAAGGGCACCUGGGGAGGGGGCCAUCCCCCAGAGAAAGAGGGUGGAGAGAACUUUCAGAGACUGUAGACGUGGGCAGCAUUCCUCAGACACCACAGAGAGUUUAGGAAGGCGAAGGAACCGAAGGGCGUUCCCUGGCCUCCUGCUAGGACGUGACGGCGACGAGAUUUGGGGAGUCUUUCGAGGAGCCGGUGAGAGACGAGGCGAUGACUGGAUGGCUGACGAGAAGUCGAGGUCUUUUGCCAGCAGCUUAGCCGUGAAAGGUAGAGAGAGAAGGCGGUGGUGGAGGAGCAGAAAGGAGAGGUGUGGAUGCUGGGAGAGACUUGGGUGUGCUCAGCGGCUUAAGGAAAGAGACGGGCCGAAGAGAAAGCAGCUGGCAAACUGAGGGAACGAGAUCUUUGGGGGAGGCUGAGCAGAUGGUUCCCAGGGCACCCCACGUGGAGCCAGGACCCUGGAACUGCCAAGCUGAAUCCCUCUUCCUGGAAAACCAAAGGGAAAGGGGAGGGGUGGGUGGAGAGAAGUAGAGGGACGUUCAAACGGGGGUGGGGGGGUGUGGGAAAGGGAGAGUUCUUGACUAGCUGGCUUCUGAUCUCUUCGGGUACCGAACGGUAUGAGGACGAUCCCGCUUGAGGCAGGCGAUGGAGAUUUGGAGGGGCUGUUGAGGAAACGGGGCGGGGGAUGGGGUUGACCACGGCCCUCUGAUGGGCUUGGGGGCAGAAGCGGCUUCCAUGCCCAUCGCGAGGCGCCGGUUCAGUCAGUCGGUGUCCAUCUGGACCACAGACCACAGACCCCUGCUUUGGAAAACAACAAGAUGCAGUUGGUAAACCCUUGCAAAGAUUUCUGACGUCUGGUGACUGGCUUUUCAACCAAAAGCGAGUCAGGGAAUAAGAUCCUCCAGUGCUUAGGAGUUUUCCUGUCUGUCCCAGAGGCCAGAGAGCACCCGAGGGCGGUUUCCCAGGAAGUGGAAAGAGGAGGAGGACCGAGCCGGGGGAAACCAAGCUUUCCUUGUGAAGUUUGGAUGCCCUUUGCACGUUGGUGCCCUUCCCCUUUCUUCCUACUGUCCCGGGAGUGGGCGCCCUCGCGCGCUUUCUGAUUCUGCAGCACUAAGGCAAGUUAGGUUCCCGCUCCCUGAGGGAAAGCUCAAUAAACGCCCCCCUUCCCCCACCCCCACCCUUC
ensembl:lncRNA